GGGUUGUGAGGUUAAGCGACUAAGCGUACACGGUGGAUGCCCUGGCAGUCAGAGGCGAUGAAGGACGUGCUAAUCUGCGAUAAGCGCCGGUAAGGUGAUAUGAACCGUUAUAACCGGCGAUUUCCGAAUGGGGAAACCCAGUGUGAUUCGUCACACUAUCAUUAACUGAAUCCAUAGGUUAAUGAGGCGAACCGGGGGAACUGAAACAUCUAAGUACCCCGAGGAAAAGAAAUCAACCGAGAUUCCCCCAGUAGCGGCGAGCGAACGGGGAGGAGCCCAGAGCCUGAAUCAGCAUGUGUGUUAGUGGAAGCGUCUGGAAAGGCGCGCGAUACAGGGUGACAGCCCCGUACACAAAAGCGCAUGUGCUGUGAGCUCGAUGAGUAGGGCGGGACACGUGGUAUCCUGUCUGAAUAUGGGGGGACCAUCCUCCAAGGCUAAAUACUCCUGACUGACCGAUAGUGAACCAGUACCGUGAGGGAAAGGCGAAAAGAACCCCGGCGAGGGGAGUGAAAAAGAACCUGAAACCGUGUACGU
rnacentral:rRNA from 2 species